rnacentral:rRNA from 1 species
GGGUGCGAUCAUACCAGCACUAAUGCACCGGAUCCCAUCAGAACUCUGCAGUUAAGCGUGCUUGGGCGAGAGUAGUACAAGGAUGGGUGACCUCCUAGGAAGUCCUCGUGUUGCACCCC